GACCGCUUAGCUCAGUUGGCUAGAGCGCUGCAUUGACAUUGCAGAGGUCAGAGGUUCAAGUCCUCUAGUGGUCA
rnacentral:tRNA from 1 species